UGCACUCAAUCAAUUUCAAGUGACUUAGUCACCUCCCAAGUCACCAAACUAUACUACAUUCAAAAUGAAAAAAUUCACCUUUCAACUACCUACACUCAAUCAAUUUCAAGUCACUAAGUCACCUCCCAAGUCACCAAACUAAACUACAUUCAAAAUGAUAAAAUUCACAUUUCAAAUACCUACACAAAAUACCAAACUAAACUACAUUCUAAACAAAAAUAAGUAGAGGCAUCGCAUGUCCCUCUCACACCAUAUAAUCAUGACAAAAUUCCUAUGACUUUCAAAGCCUUCUACAAUGAACAAUCCCAUAUUAAACUACGUUUACAGAUUUCAUUAUAAGAAAAUAGAGAGAAAUUAACUUACCUUUGCUUGGCCUAAAUUAAAGAGAAAGAGAUAAGCGGUCACCGAAAAAAUUGCAAAACAAUCCUUUUUUUUGAAUUUGAAUUCUGUCAAAAAGUAACAUCAAAUUCCAAGCAACCCAUUAGGCAAAUAGAAGAAAAAUAUCUUAACCAUUAGACAAAAUAAAUAAAUCUUGACCAUUAGCUACAAUCAAUUUUCACAUUCCCAACCACAUUCCAAGUUCUUACAAAUAUGUUUCAGCUACAUCAACAUGUUUAUUUUCUCAUAUUCUUAGCUUAAAAUCACCAUUCAAACUCCAUGAAAAUACUAAAAUUAUAAUGGGGUAUCAAGAAAAGUAAACCCUAAUUUACUUGGAAGAACCACCAAUACAAGUAAUUACUUAAAAAAAUCACCAGAUAUCUUUCCAUAAAUUUUCAAGAAAGUAAUUUGGUUAAGAUUAGGUCUAGUACAAGUGUGGGGGUUAAGAUUAGGUCUAAUACAAGUACCAAUGAACAUAAAUAUCACAAACCGUACCUCUUUCAGUGAAAGCUCGGCAGUUCAGAGCCGGCAGUCUCGUCGGAGCCGAUUGCAGUGGAGGUCGGCAAUGUGUGUGUUGUGCGAUGUGUGUGUCAUACUCGAUUUUUACAUAAGGUCAAAUCGAGCACGGUAUUAUGGACUCAAAAGAAUUAAUUUUUAUAUUGAGUUGCCACCUAAUUUUUAAGGAAAAUAAGAAAAGAAUUAAUUUUUAUAUUGAGUUGCCACCCAAUUUUUAAGGAAAAUAAGAAAAUCUAUUUUAUUUACUAAGAUGUAUGACUUUAUUUCAAUCUACAAAACCAUUUUAGAUUUCAGGUAAGGGUUCAAAUUAUUCCGAAAGAAAGGUGUUAGGCACCCUUCAAAAUCCACAAAUGUAGCCCCGACCAGACUUAGG
rnacentral:lncRNA from 1 species